rnacentral:ncRNA from 1 species
GGGGGUAUGGCGGAAUUGGUAGACGCUACGGACUUAAAUAAUUUGAGCGUUAGUAGAAAAACUUACUAAAUGCUAGCUUUCAGAUUCAGGGAAACUUAGGUUGAUAAAAAUAUAAGCAAUCCUGAGCCAAAUCUUAUUUCGUUCGAAAAUGGGAUAGGUGCAGAGACUCAAUGGAAGCUAUCCUAACGAAUAAUAUUUUCCUAACGAAUAAUAUUUUAAAAAUUAUUUAAAAUUUAUUUUUUAGAUAUUAAGCGAGGAUAAAGAUAGAGUCCAAUUUUACAUGUUAAUCUUAGCAACAAUUUAAAUUGUAGUAGAAAG